rnacentral:rRNA from 1 species
UAUCUCUGUAGAGUCUGCAUAUCAAUAAGCGGAGGAAAAGAAACUAACUAGGAUUCCCUCAGUAACGGCGAGUGAAGCGGGAAGAGCUCAAAUUUGAAAUCUUCAAGGUUUUACCUUGACGAAUUGUAGUUUAAAGAAGUGUUUUCUGUUGGAGUUUUGGUAAAAGUUCUUUGGAAUAGGACAUCAUAGAGGGUGAGAAUCCCGUAUUUGACCAUUAUUUCCAGCUUUGUGAUACACUUUCAAAGAGUCGGAUUGUUUGGGAAUGCAGUCCAAAAUGGGUGGUAAAUUUCAUCUAAAGCUAAAUACUGGCGAGAGACCGAUAGCGAACAAGUACCGUGAGGGAAAGAUGAAAAGAACUUUGAAAAGAGAGUUAAACAGUACGUGAAAUUGUCAAAAGGGAAGCGUUUGACACCAGUGUUGUUUUCUCGAAAAUCAAUUAAAAAUGGCGGGAUUUUGUGUUGUAUUGACUUUAUCAGCUUUCUGCACUCUUUUCCUGUCUUUUUUAAUGCACUUUUCGUUUAACAAGUCAACAUCAAUUUCUUUUGUUGUAAAAGAGUCAUUGGAAGGUGGCUUUCUUUUCGGAGAAAGUGUUUAUAGCCUUUGGCUUCUGCAAUCGGAGAGAUUGAGGUCUGCAGCGUAGAUCCUUCGGGGUUAGAUACAUUUGUGCUAAGUUAUAGCCUUUCAUAGACAACUUGUUGACUAUGAUCAGUCAUGUAGCUUACUCGCUUAUGCUAUUUUACCUACGCUUAGGAUGUUGAGUCAUCACACAUCUCU